rnacentral:tRNA from 1 species
AGCCACGUAGCCCAGUGGUUGUGUGCGCUGGAUCGAUCCAGGGGCUCUUGGGAUCGAAUCCCAGCUUUGCCC